AAAAAAAAGAAGGUACUACACCUAUUGUCAUCAUAGAUAACAGGUCGCCACUAGGGAUAGUACAAAGAUUUAGGGUUGUAUACAAGGAUUGGGAGGGGCCGUACUAUUAAAUGGCUACCUGACCUAGAGUAUGGGCAACUACCCACCAGUCACUCUGCUGCAAGGAUGUGUGGAAAAACAAGCAGAUCUUAAGAAGAACAGCAAGGAGUACUAUUUAUGUAUAUGUAUACAUGCAGAACACUGCAUAUAAUGACC